UACGUAGGCAGCGAGCGUUGUUCGGAAUUACUGGGCGUAAAGAGUGUGUAGGCGGUGCUCUAAGUUCGGUGUGAAAUCUCCUGGCUCAACUGGGAGGGUGCGCCGGAAACUGGAGUGCUUGAGCGUGGGAGAGGAAAGCGGAAUUCCUGGUGUAGCGGUGAAAUGCGUAGAUAUCAGGAGGAACACCUGUGGUGUAGACGGCCUUCUGGACCAUAGCUGACGCUGAGACACGAAAGCGUGGGUAGCAAACAGG
rnacentral:rRNA from 1 species